AAAAUUUUAAGUUAAUAAAACUCUAGUCCUUCAAAGUCUAAAUUAUAGACUAAACCCUGUAAAUUUUA
rnacentral:tRNA from 1 species